AGCCAUGUGAUAAGCACAAAGCGAACUAUUCUUUCGCCUUUUACUAAAGAAUACCGUGUGCUUUUCACACAAAGUGGCAUACGCUUAUUUUUGAGGGGUUCCUCUUGUUGAGGGAUC
rfam:Lupinus angustifolius cultivar Tanjil contig_10723, whole genome shotgun sequence.